ensembl:lncRNA
GUGCUCCUAGGUUCCCGGCCCUGGUGGUGUCCAUCGCCGCGGUGCUCCUCUGCUUCUAUGUGCGCGCCAGGAGAAAACGAACCGCCGUCGCCACGGCGCCGCCGCCAGGCGCCGGCUCCCCUCCGGGGCUGAGCACGGUGUCGCGGCCUGACGGUCAGACGGAUGAGGAGAGACAUUACGACAGGUUCCCCCCUCGGUACAGCACUGUGGACCCCCCACCACCGUACUCACUGUUUGACCCCAAGCUGACGGGCGUCUGGCCGGGGGGCUCGCCCCCCGCCUACGAGAUGUACCCGAUAACGCUGCCUCUGGCUCCUCAUCACUGGGCGACAUCCACAGGACGUCCGCGCCCGACCUCGCCGAGCCCCCGCGGGCCCCCCCAGCCGCAGCGCGCCGCCACCAGCUAACGUCGUCGCG